AUGAUAGCAAAUUUCAAUUUACAAAAAAAAACAACGUUUUCGUCUUUUGAACUUCUAGUCAUGAAAUCUAUGCAGCCUACUCAAUCUCUUUUUAUAGCUACUGCUUACAGGCCUCCUGCGCCAUAUACAGCGUUCCCUGAAUUCCUAUCGGACCUUGCAGUCAUAGCAGAUAAUAUUCUAAUUUUUGGUGACUUUAAUAUUCACAUGGAAAAGUCCACAGACCCACUCCAAAAGGCUUUCGGAGCCAUCAUCGACUCAGUGGGUUUUGUCCAACAUGUCUCCGGACCUACUCACUGCCACAGUCAUACUCUGGACCUAGUUUUGUCCCAUGGAAUAAAUGUUGUGGAUCUUAAUGUUUUUCCUCAUAAUCCUGGACUAUCGGACCACCAUUUUAUUACGUUUGCAAUUGCAACAAAUAAUCUGCUCAGACCCCAACCAAGGAUCAUCAAAUGUCGUGCUAUAAAUUCUCAGACAACCCAAAGAUUCCUAGAUGCCCUUCCAGACUCCCUCCGCCUACCCAAGGACGUCAGAGUACAAAAAUCAGUUAACCACCUAACUGAGGAACUCAAUUUAACCUUGCGCAAUACCCUAGAUGCAGUCGCACCCCUAAAAACAAAAAACAUUUGUCAUAAGAAACUAGCUCGCUGGUAUACAGAAAAUACCCGAGCUCUGAAGCCAGCAUCCAGAAAAUUGGAACGGAAAUGGCGCCACACCAAACUGGAAGUCUUCCGACUAGCUUGGAAAGACAGUACCGUGCAGUAUCGAAGAGCCCUCACUGCUGCUCGAUCAUCCUAUUUUUCCAACUUAAUUGAGGAAAAUAAGAACAAUCCUACAUUUCUUUUUGAUACUGUCGCAAAGCUAACUAAAAAUCAGCAUUCCCCAAGAGAGGAUGGCUUUCACUUCAGCAGUGAUAAAUUCAUUAACUUCUUUGAGGAAAAGAUCAUGAUCAUUAGAAAGCAAAUUACAGACUCCUUUUUAAAUCUGCGUAUUCCUCCAAAGCUCUGUUGUCCUGAGUCUGCACAACUCUGCCAGGACCUAGGAUCAAGGGAGACACUAAAGUGUUUUAGUACUAUAUCUCUUGACACAAUGAUGAAAAUAAUCAUGGCUGCUAAACCUUCAAGCUGCAUACUGGACCCUAUUCCAACUAAACUACUGAAAGAGCUGCUUCCUGUGCUUGGCCCUCCUAUGUUGAACAUAAUAAACGGCUCUCUAUCCACCGGAUGUGUACCAAACUCACUAAAAGUGGCAGUAAUAAAGCCUCUCUUGAAAAAGCCAAACCUUGAACCAGAAAAUAUUUUAAAAACUAUCAGCCUAUAUCGAAUCUCCCAUUCAUCUGAAAAAUGUUAG
ensembl:lncRNA